CCAGAGCUGUGCCCUCCAACAGCGUGACGCUGGAAAGGAGUCUUAUCUGAACGAAGAUGGGCUACG
rnacentral:lncRNA from 1 species